rnacentral:lncRNA from 1 species
AUGUCCUGGCUGUAGAGUAAAAAAGACUAAUUCCAUCAUGACCCAGCAGCUGGAGAGGUUCAUUUGGAAAAGACUGAGCCCUGAAUGAGAAUUUCAGUACUGCUUCCAAUGGGGGGAAAAAGUAUUUAUAUCGAUGUGACCGUCAUGACAGUUCUACACCGUGAAUUUGUUAGAGGUCCUCUCCAGAAACUAGGAGUUUAUUUUCCCAUGUUGCCUCCUGUCCCAACUCACAGGGCAUUAUUUCAACCCACAAUCCACAGAACAGGUGAGACAUACCACAGAUGCCUACUCCCUGCACACAUUGCAUGCUGUUUAUACAUUAUACACACAUGCUAUUUAACAUACUUUUUAUGUUUUUAAGAGCAGCUGAAGAAUCUUUUAUGAACACAAAUCUUAUUUUCACAUGUGGCUCUGUAUAAUGAAUUUUUCAAAGAUUUUCACACCUACUCUAAGUGAAAUUAUAUCUUGGGAAAGUAUAGCUUGAUUGUUAAUUCUGAACCAUGUUGAAGUUCCUGCCUAUUCUGUUUUAAUCUGAAUUGCUCUUUUGAAUGUAUUUUAUAUUAGGAUUUGGAAACAGAUACAGUUCUUCUAUUUUUGUUUAAUAUAUUUUUAAAAUUUUUAUUCUUUUAUUUUUUUUGCACACAGGGUUGGGUGCACAUAUAUUAUUGUGGCUCUCUUUUUGCCAUUUACAAAGGAAUUGUACAUUCUGACAAUAUCGUGUGCACCAAAUCAAUGAAAUAUCCUGUGUUUUCUAUUCAUUAAGCCCCUAAAGCACUAUGUGCAAAUUCCCUCACUUUAAUUACACACCUCAGGGAUGUGCAGGCCAAAAAGGAGGCAGUCAGACAAAAAAGCCUGGUCUCUGCCAAAAGGAAAAAAGAAUAACUGGUAAACAUUUAUUUUCAGCAGGGAAAUCUGCUAUUAAUUCAUAUAGUGACUUUCCCCAGCUGAAAUAAUGAGGAAAGCCAAGUGAACCAAAUGUUCACAGUGAGCAAACAUGAACAGUAGGAAAUCAGCCCAUCUUGUAUUUACAUGUUUAUUCCAUCAGCCUUUGAAGAACAUUUGCACGAUCCCCCCUUUUUUUUUUUUUUUUCCAACGAGUGUCAACGUUUACUCACACUCCUCCGGGGGUGACUCGCCAGCAAGGAGAGGCAGC